rnacentral:rRNA from 1 species
UUAGAGUUUUGAUCAUGGCUCAGAUUGAACGCUGGCGGCAGGCUUAACACAUGCAAGUCGAGCGGUAACAUUUCUAGCUUGCUAGAAGAUGACGAGCGGCGGACGGGUGAGUAAUACUUGGGGAUCUGCCUGAUGGAGGGGGACAACCACUGGAAACGGUGGCUAAUACCGCAUGACGCCUACGGGCCAAAGUGUGGGACCUUCGGGCCACACGCCAUCAGAUGAACCCAAGCGAGAUUAGCUAGUUGGUGAGGUAACGGCUCACCAAGGCGACGAUCUCUAGCUGGUCUGAGAGGAUGAUCAGCCACACUGGGACUGAGACACGGCCCAGACUCCUACGGGAGGCAGCAGUGGGGAAUAUUGGACAAUGGGCGCAAGCCUGAUCCACCCAUGCCGCGUGUGUGAAGAAGGCCUUAGGGUUGUAAAGCACUUUCAGUGGUGAGGAGGGCGUCUUAGUUAAUAGCUGCAACGAUGGACGUAGCCACAGAAGAGCACCG